GAUAAUUUACAACACGACCUUCUUCCAUGGCAUGCAAAGGUACAGCAUUCCGAUACCGAGGAGACUUCAUUCGCCGAGAGCCAAGUCGGAUGCAUGUCACAACCAUUAGCACUAUGAUGCCGUACAGUGUAGAA